CAGUAGCCGCGGGAAUACGUAGGGUGCAAGCGUUAAUCGGAAUUACUGGGCGUAAAGCGUGCGCAGGCGGUUAUAUAAGACAGAUGUGAAAUCCCCGGGCUCAACCUGGGAACUGCAUUUGUGACUGUAUAGCUAGAGUACGGCAGAGGGAGAUGGAAUUCCGCGUGUAGCAGUGAAAUGCGUAGAUAUGCGGAGGAACACCGAUGGCGAAGGCAAUCCCCUGGGCCUGUACUGACGCUCAUGCACGAAAGCGUGGGGAGCAAACAGGAUUAGAUACCCCAGUAGUCCCUGUCUCUUAUAC
rnacentral:rRNA from 1 species